rnacentral:misc_RNA from 1 species
UACGUAGGGAGCAAGCGUUGUUCGGAUUUACUGGGCGUAAAGGGCGCGUAGGCGGCGCGGUAAGUCACUUGUGAAAUCUCUGAGCUUAACUCAGAACGGCCAAGUGAUACUGCAGUGCUAGAGUGCAGAAGGGGCAAUCGGAAUUCUUGGUGUAGCGGUGAAAUGCGUAGAUAUCAAGAGGAACACCUGAGGCGAAGGCGGGUUGCUAGGCUGACACUGACGCUGAGGCGCGAAAGCCAGGGGAGCAAACGGG